rnacentral:misc_RNA from 1 species
AUGAACAGUUGACUGAUUCCUGUUGAAAAUAUUUCAGGUAACAAAUCGUUAAGAAAGUUUUAUGAAAAAAGUUUAUUCAUCAUUCUACAAGACUACUACUUUAGACCACCUCUCAUCAAUUAAAUUUGUCUCUGCCCAUUACUUUGCAAUCUAACCUCAGACUUUUAUUACCUAGAUACUCAAAAUCUCAGUUUUACAAAGGAAGAAAUGAGAUGAAAGACAACCCAUUUGUGACCCAUUCCAUACAAGGAUGGGCCAAAGCAGAAUAGCAGAAAAAGGAUUAGACUAAGAGUCCGUGGCAUUGUUGUUGUAAUUACUGUUGAAAAAGAUACUAUCUUGAAUGUGUUGAUUAAGAGCGACUACAAUUGGUUUUUAAGGUAAAUUAAAUAUGUUUUGGUCAUAAAAAGUUCAAAAUCUCUAAAAAAGACAGCAUUUAAAAGGGUCCAUUUCAAAAACCAAUUUAAAUCUUAAUGCCAAACAGGUACUAAAACUAGUACUAACGUGUACUCAUUCUAAUUUUUCCAUUCCGUAUAUAAAACAACACAGCUGUACUUGUUUGCAAUACUGAAUUGGCCACCACCAAAUCUUUUACAAAAAAAUAAUUAUAAAAGCAGAAACUGAGAACAAAAGCAAAGAGGAGAAAUUUUUCAGCAUUGCAUUAAACAGAAGCAACAAGUAACUCUUAUAAUCUUAGAGGGAACAGAGAAUCAAGAUAAAUCCUUAUAAGAGAAUAACAACAUAUCUAUUAAGAAAAUGUGGAUAUGCAUGAUGGAAAAAGUAAGCAGAAAUUGAAUGUUCUGAACUCUUAGAGAAGGGUUAAGAAGGAUCUAUCACCUUCUCACAGUGCCUGCACUGCCAGUCAAAAUUAAGAUUGGAGGCAGCAGCCUUUGUUCUUAACCUUGCAUUCAUCCCAACUACCACCCAACUUCCAAUGAAGCUACUGAAAACACGGGAAAAUAAAAGAAAAAAAUUUCAGUAGAAUGAAGGGGGAGGGAGGGGAGGGGCGCGGGGGCAAGAAGAGUAGUCUAACAGAAACCUUGUUUCAACAUCAUCAUGCAUGCUCAUUAGCGCACGAAUGCCUCCACAGCAACUGUGACCAACAACUAAAAUGUUUUCAA